AAGUGUAACAAACAAAAUCCGACGAGGCUUUGACUCUCUAAUUAAAAAUAUGUCAAACUCAACUUGAGAGACAUGGGCAGGGGGAGCACACGGAGCGGAGCAAAUCUGGAGGUGAAAUAGUUUUCUGACACAUUUUGCAAGGUGGCUGGCUAUCAAAAUAGGCGUGGGCUUUUGAAAAACGAUUCUGAUGAAUGCAAAUCUAAUGAGAGGUAGUGCUCUUUCUUUUCUUUGAUGAUGAAAAGAUGUAAUUAAAGAUACGUAAAAAGCUGAUUAUUCGAUCCGAAGCUGAACUUCUUGCAAAGAGUUUUCUAAUUACUUUGACUUUUCUCAAACAAGGCGUGAGCUGCAUAAAUAUACUUUUUGCUUCUUUGUUCUCAAUAUUGCCAUAAGAUGGAAGAAGUUAAUUUAUGUCGAAGAAUCAGAUUGGAGCAGGAUAGAAAUGCUGGAUCACAAAAAUUGUUUGUGUCUUUAACUGGUAAAUGAAGUUGAAGAUAUCAUCAAUUAAAGAUAUUUAAAAACUUUAUUUUUGUCAUCAAUA